UGGACCUUCAACUGGGCAGCAGUGCCUUGCUCGAGGGCAGCGGCAGGGGGGAUACCAUGCCUUUCCAAGAGCACAGAAACUGGGGCACGGCGAGGAAAGCCAUGUGUUGAGUUCUCAGUUUGACUUCUGCCAGUAGUUUGAAUCUCUUCAUUUCCCCCUGAAGAUGCCAGAUCUUCAUAAUGUUCUCACACUCAAAAGAAAUUGUACAUGCACGCCAUAUACACAAUAUACAUAUUUAUAAUAGAUCGGAUAUAUGAUCUUAAUUUGCAAAUUGUUAUCCCAAUACUUAUGUCAAAAUACGUUAAUAUAUCAAUAAGCUGAGUCUUACACCAUCAACGUUAUUCCCUGUUUUCAGCUGUUUGCAAACAUCUGACAAGAUAACCUUUUCACUUGGUUCAUAUCACUUAUUUCCUUUAGUUUGUGAACUAAAGUAUUUAUUCUAAUUAUCGACUGUCGUGGUUUGGGUUCACUUCUUGUUUUAUUUUGUAGUUUCAUGUCUCUUGUGUCACUUCCUGCCGUGUCCUGCCGUCCCCUGUGACUGUCUGCCGUGUCCAUGAGUGUUUCCAGUGUAGUUUGGUCAUUUGCUCAUCGUGAGCUGCUCCCCUUCAGGGCGACCAAGUGGUUGACAUGUUGAUUGUCCUCCUCUGUAGAAGAAGUCGUGUCCUGGACAGCUUCUCCCUGCGUGUCUCUGUCUCUGUCUCACCACCUGAGUCGGAGGAGAGCGAGCAUGUGUCUCAGUCCCACUCUACAUCUGUCGCACUGCAACGUGUGUGUCGCACCACCGGUUAGCAUGUGUGUUUGUACAUGCUCUUGAUGGUGUUGGUGAGGUGGUGUGUGUGUGUGUGUGUGUGUGUGUGUGUGUGUGUGUGUGUAGCAGCAGAUGUCAUUUGUUCUGAAGUCAGCAGCUGGAUCCUAAGUUCCCAUUGGGACCUUUUAAUGUCUGCAGUACAGACACACAGCGGCCUGUGGACACCCGACCACGUGUGAUCACCAGUGACGGUACCAUCAGCCUUUUGGGUGGAGGCCUGGUUUUAGGUCAGAUGUAGUAGAUAUCAGCAGAACGUCUGACCUGCAGGUUUUUGGAGCACAGCACCUGUUGUUCCAGGAGACGGAUGGAAACAAAAGCUUCAGGUUGAACAAAACCAAGACCAAUCUUAAGUAAAAACUUUAAUUCAAAAAUCAAUUUUUCAUUCGUCUUUGGCUCAUUUUGUGAAAAACGACAACAAUGAAAAAAGGAAUUGUAACGCACCACAAGAGACCAGAGUGAACUCAAGCGCAGAGCGCAGUUUUAUUAGCGGGGUACAGACAAGGAUCAGGCGUGGUCGUAGCUGGAGGUCAGGCGGGGGGUCGAGAGCCGGGAGCGCAGAGGUAGGCAGAGGUACCGUCGGGGGUCAGGCAGGCGUGAACGAGGUCUGGGACAAAGGAGAGAUCAAUAACAGGUAGGCAGAAACAGGAUAUCUAGAGAACGCUCAGAAUGUGAUGGCAACAUGCACAAGACUUCGCACCGGCCUCUGAGGCUUCGGCAGCUUAAAUGCCCAACCUCUCCUGAUGAGAGACGAGCCACAGGUGCGUUGGUGGGAGUGGCCGCGCCCGCUCAGUGGGCUGAUCCCGAGUGGCACAAACCAUUGUAACGUGCCACAGAGGGGUGACUGGGAUCCCGAGCUUCGGACCUUAGUAUUCCGGAGACGGGGAACGUCUGUUUGUGACAGGAAUAUUGAGAAAAGAAGACAGAGAUGCAGCAGUCUCCUUUGUUGGUAGAAGAACACACGUGCAUUAAAUACACAUGAAACCCUUAUUGCACUUAUUGCAAACCUAAACCGGCACAAAACUUAAUCAAAACUGUGUUCGUAAUACAAGUUUCCGUCAUACAUUUAGUUUGUAAAUGAUGUCAUUUGUCUUGCUGUAUUCUAGGAACGACGUACAGAUGCUCUGACAGCUCGUCUCUGAGGCAGAAAGUGUAAUUGAGUGAUGUGCUUUGUGUUUUCUCGUCGCGUUUGGGAAGGAAUGGAAGCUGAAGGACUGAAGGAGCGACAAAGAGCUUGUUUCGGUCAGUCAGUUAAUAGUUAAUGGUACAAAAUGUUAAUGUCGGGGGCAUUUCUGAGCCGGUCACCAACAGCUGCCUCCUAAAGACUACAGAUGUUAAUGAGUCCAGUGGCAACUCAUCGGAUUCGCGUUCCACGAUGUUUAAUGACAGUUUGGACUGUGUUGGUUGAGCGGAGACAUAAGACACAAGACAAUCCUUAUGAAGGUAUGUGAGGACAUAUUAAAUGUAUAAAAAAGGACAGCAAAUACAUCUGUGUGGUGGAUGAUCAGUCAAAGCUUUAAACCAACUCCAUUUGAUUAUUUCUGGUAAUCAGAUGAAAAAAUACAAACUGUAGCCACUUUGAAUCAGGAAUCAUGUAUUGCCAAAAUAUGUCAAACAUAUUUUUCCAGGACAGCAGUGCACAAGGAAUAAAAUAAAGUAAAACUAAAUGAAAUGCUAAACAUGUAGAAUGAAAUAAGCAGCCGGGCUCUGUGGUGCUGAUGAAAUAUGAGAUACUAUUAUUCCAGUUCCAUUAGUAUUCAGUACACCAGUUUCACUGCCGUCCCUCGGUUACCUCCUUCCAAUGCGGUUUGACAGUUCAGAACAUUAAAAGGGCCUCGCAUGCUCAGUAAACUAGUAAAAGCAGCAGCAACAUGGCGGAAAUGGGUGGAAAUAUCACUUGAAGCCAAAGUACAACAGCAUCUCCGCUGUGUGCUCUGGGUCAGGGUUAGGGUUAGGGUUAGGGUCAGGGUCAGGGUUAGGGUUAGGGUUAGGGUUAUGCAGGACGAGAGGACCCAGUGACGUAAAGAUCAACUCUUUAGAUCUACUUGUAAGACACAUAAUUAUCUUUUGCAGUUUUGCAGCUCAGCCUGUAGCCAGGCACCAUAUGGCCGUCUCGUGGAGGAUCUAGCCUCGUCCUGACAAUCAGGACCACGGGCUAAAACCCUGCUGGAUCUGGACCACGGCCAGAUGAGAGGAAGACUGCGAGAGCCACACAAACCUCAGGGAAAUAAAAAAUACCUCCAAAUGGACGUGAAGUAAGUGGUACAGAGAAAGGACACCAAACAGAUCAUCUGAGGGACAAAGAGACAGGGUGAGCGGGAGGCAACGCUAAUAAUAAUAAUAGUAAAAGGAAUUAAAGUAGAGAAGGAAAAAGUGGGCUAAACAAUGUUUAGCCAAUUAAGCGUUGCAGAGGAAUCCAUGUGCACAAUGAGCCACCCAUGACUGAACGCAGAGGCAGAGCUGCUUAAUUACAGCCCGAAGAGACACGAGUCUUCAUCAGAGCGGAAACACAGGGGAGGAAGCGAGAAAGUGCUUUUCAGUCCCGGUGAGGACGGAGAGAAGGAUGGAAGGAAAUAAAGAAUCAAUCUGAGCUUAGUUUUUCCUUAAACAUUUAUAAUAUUCUUGAAUUUGUGAAAAAACUAAGAAACACAUGUCACACAUGUGUGUGGACACACAGAGACACGGGGUGAUGACGGGCAAUUAAACCAAUGAGUUCCUUGUAAAAAACAUGGCCCCUCCAAGUAAGAAAAGAAAUGAAAAUAGGACACGGCGGAUAGGAACCCGCCCUGAACCAGGAGGAAGAUGAGUCCGGCUUCUGGAGGUCACAAAUACGUGGACAGACACAGGGGUUCAAACUACCAACUGUUCGACAAAUGGAGGCAGCGACGAGCGGCGCUUCCUCUCAGAUUGAUAAUCCCUCACAAGUGGGUUGGCUGCUCAUUUUUUGCUCAACUUGAUCAAAUUGAUCUCCGUAGGUCACCAGUGGUGUUUGUCAUCUGUCACAUUCCACAGUCGGGGGGUUGUGUAUUUCUCGUCUGUUUAUAACAUAUUCGCCUUGCCGGUGGGACGCAGUGAGGUGCUACAGACAAACGGCCCAGUCAGCAUGUGCUACGUAACAAAGACUGAAAACAUACGAGAUUCACACUUUUAGUCCCUCUUAACAUCUUUUAAGUUGAGCAAUACAAAGUUGGUUAGUCUGUUGCCUCAACGCGACUGAGCCCUUUGCUGGGAGCUAACCGUGCUAAUAAUGCUAAAAACACCAGAGUUUCCCUUUGGGGGAACCAGAGGCUGGACGCCGUUAUCAGACACAACUGCUGCGUGACUGCGCCAAAACGGGAAGCGGCCAGACGUGCACUCUCACGUGCACUAAAAAGCACCGGCCCUCCUUCGUGAACGGCUCAUUUCACCGUCCUUUACAAUUCGCCGUGUGACACUCGCUUCUGCAUGUUUUCAAACGCACUCACGCCACACAUCCGAUUUUUCUCGCCAAAAAAAUCUGAUUUUGUGUCGAGACGCGUUGCUUCCUUUUCCACCGACGGCAGGUGGCGCUAAGGAGCACAUCUGUGAUCCUAUUCGCUGCAUAAUCCAGAAAAUCCUCAUCUCCAAUGUUAACGACAUGAGGUUCAAAUAAGAACUCACUCUCUUCUCUUGGAAGCAAUUAUUGGUUUGUGUUUGUGUGCGUCAACUUGAUUUUGUGUGCUGAAUGUAAAGUGUCACAACAAGCAGCACCUUGUUAAGCUCGAGGUGUACUGCCUGCAGCAUUGUUCAUUGACGCUGCUCACAUUGCAUUUAUCUUUUUAUUAAUUAACGAAAAGGACUCCCUCUGAAGUCGGGAAAGACGGACAAACACACUGACAGACCAACUAUGGAAACAACAGGGCCGCAGACAGCAGCCAAACAACAGGAGCAUCGAACGUACAAACUACGUAUUUACUGGUCGUUCCUGCAGAUGCACAUUUGAAAACAAACCUUCCAACUGGUCCUUUCACUGUUCUGGUACAGCCCGGUGUUCAGGUGAGCGUGUGAGGAACGUGUUGUUGUUGUUGUUUGUCUUUCGUAGCUGCACAUUGAGGUGUAUUAGGCUUACAGGGGAGGAGAGGAACUUCUCCAUCUAUGUUCUGCUGUGCUGCCUGGCACACAUGUUUACCCCGGGGUGACUGCCAGGAAGUAUUUCUAUAAACAGGGUAAUUCUGGAAAAAUCACUGGCAGCUAAACCCCCCCCAGCACCACAUCCCCCCCCGUG
ensembl:lncRNA